UGAUCUGUCCUUUCUAUCCUGCGGAGCCCUCCGCUAAAGGAUUCGGGACUGGUGAACCUCUGUCAGGUCACUAUGGAGUUCCCACUCUGUUUGCUUGCUGUGUAUUUUCUUAGAAGAGGAGAAGAGGAGGAGGAAAGGAGAUGAAAAGCCUGCUCCCAAGGGCAGGUCACUAGGUCCCUGGCCGUGUCCUGGGGGGUGUGUUGGGAGUCUGUCCCCUAGCAGGUACUGACCCUCAGCAUGACCUCUUAGGACCUGGUCAGUCGGGCCUGGUGAGCAGAGCCAGGAGCUGCAGAUUAUUUUGAUCCGCAGCGACCUUGACGCACCGACGAACCCAAGCACCAGACACCCGAAGACACCUGAGACGACUAGAUGAAGCUCAUCCGAAGCACAAAGCUUAUAUUACUUACCUGAAUACUUACACGAAAUGUACCCUAGAAUGCCGCCAGAUGAAGAACCAUUCUUUUCUUUCUUUUGGUUGGCUUCUGGUUGUCUGCGUUGCUUGGUUUCGGCGGGUCAUGGGGGGCCUGCUGAAGAAAACGCAUUCCCAAAUACACUACAAUGCUGAACGCAUGAUUUACAUGAAAAUGUUUAAAAAAUGAACAUAAAAAUGGAAAAAACAUUUGCAACAUGAA